AUGGCUCAGGAUGAACGCUAGCUACAGGCCUAACACAUGCAAGUCGAGGGGUAGCGUGAGGGAAGCUUGCUUCCCUUGACGACGACCGGCGAACGGGUGAGUCACGCGUGUCCAACCUGCCCCGUGCCCGGGGAUAGCCCUUGGAAAUGAGGAUUAAGACCCGAUAUGUGGCGCUUCCGCAUGGCGGCGCCAUGAAGCAGGCACGGGAUGGGACGCGUCGGAUUAGCUUGACGGCGGGGCAACGGCCCACCGUGGCGACGAUCCGCAGGGGUUCUGAGAGGAAGGUCCCCCACACUGGCACUGAGACACGGGCCAGACUCCUACGGGAGGCAGCAGUGAGGAAUAUUGGUCAAUGGGCGGGAGCCUGAACCAGCCCAAGUAGCGUGCAGGACGACGGCCCUACGGGUUGUAAACUGCUUUUCCGGGAGGAUAAAGUGAGCCACGCGUGGUUCAUUGCAGGUAUCCCGGGAAUAAGGACCGGCUAAUUCCGUGCCAGCCGCGGC
rnacentral:rRNA from 1 species